CUAUAAUACAUAUAGGAAACUGAAAUUAAAGUAUUCAUACAUACUUAAUUUAAUUACACAAACAUAUCUACAAAGUAAAAAUAGGUACACUAAUAUGUCAAUUUUUAGCAUACACAUUCAGAAAACCUACUUUAUUAUAUAAUGGACUUUGGUUUUUAACAAAUACUCCCUCAUCUGAAUUAGUUAUAUUGAGGUCUUACUGUACUCGCGUGUGGCUAAUGUUCACAAAAAAUUCUAUUAGCACUACUCUAGAUCUUUUAAGUGAGAUUUGAAGCUACAGCCCAAAAAAUAGAAAGAUGGACAGAGUGUCUAUUUUUUCUAUUUCCAGAAUUCCUCACUUUGUGCUAAGUUUGUCCAAGUACUCAGUAUAUAAGUAUAUAUUGGCUUAUUAAUAUCAGUUAUUAAGAAUGAAAUAGAAUUUUUAAUUUUUUAUUAAAGAAAUUUUGCCUUAUCACUAAGAUCACAAGCAUAGGAAUAUUUUAAUAUCUAGAGAUAGCACAAAUAAAUUUAAAAAUUAGUUGUCCGUAUCUAAAGAAGUUCAGUAUAAAAUUAGGGAGUACGUUUUUCCUGAAUGUAGAUUAUUUUUAAAAUUCUAUGCUAGUGCCUGGCUGGUGUGGCUCAGUGGUUGAGCAUUGACCUAUGAACCAGUUGGUCACAGUUAGAUUCCCAUCAGGGCAUAUACCCAAGUUUCAAGCUCCAUCUGCAGUGGAAGGUGUUGCGGGGGCAACUAAUUGAUGAUUCUUACUCAUUGAUCUUUCUAUCUCUCCCUCUCCCUUCCUCUCUGAAAUCUAUAAAAAUAUAUAUUUUUAAAAUUCUAUGCUAGCAUUCAUUUUUCUCAGAUUAUGCCAAAGAGCUACAUUUAGGUAUAAUAUAGUCUCAGAUUAUAAAAAAAAAGAAUGCAAAAUAAUUUUUAAAACUUGAACGCAAAAAAAAUAAACACUUCCAAAUUAUUUGGAUCAAUAGAUUUACUGUUGGGACUGUCAUACGUUGAGUUUUCAUUUUCAGGUUAUGGAAAACCUGUAAGUAGGCAUUGGGUAAGAAUCUCCAACCUGAAUUUGAUUCUUAACAUGUCUUCAUACAUUGGUAGAUGAAUAAUUUAGUACACCUCUUCCCCCCCCCCCCCCCCCAUAGUUUUGCAUUGCUAAGUGCUACAUAAUCCUGUUCUGAUCAUAAACCUAUUCUUAAAGAGAACUGUCACCUUAGGUUUUGGCUUUACUCUUCAUAAGAAAAAGAUGUCCUGUACACAGGCA